ACCUGACCAACGUUGGAGAAAACCACACCAGAUGCGAUACAUGAGAGGGGUUACAGUACAGAAGAGCUUGCUGUAAGAAAGGCAGAGACCUGCAUGGAAUGGGAUUGUAGCGGCCUUAUGAACCACAAGGUUGUUAGCCCGCUGAGCUAACACAAGUAUUCACGCCUCAGGAAGUUGCCGUACUGGCAGGAGUAGACGUGUCUGUGCAGCUGAACCAGGAAGCGCUCGUUGAACUCAAAGGCACAGGGGAACUGCUCUGACAGCUGCCACACACACUCCAGGAACUGGUCUAUCACCGGGGACACCUCCUUAGGAUCACCUUCCAGAUGGUUGUACCUGCAGAGAAGGGAAGACUGCGGCUUAAAACACUUUCAUAAGGGGUUUAAAGUGGCAAUCAGCAGUAGAAACAAUAACAAAGUGGUCUCCCUGCCCCUGGUUUGGUGAAAAGCUGAGGGAUGUAACCCCUCUCAAAUUCAUAGACAGAGCUAUGGAUGCGAGGAAUGACCGUUCUUGAUAACAAAAUUAUAGUUUUAACCAUGUUUGGAGGCUACAUAGUGUUUGUUUACGUUCUCUUUGUUUACAAACGUUAGAGAAAAAGAAGCUUACAUUUUUUAACUGCUGAUUGCCCCUUUUAAGCAGAUUUAAAGAACUGUGAGGGAAGUGUUAUGUAUCGACUCAAUGCUACUUUCUAAUAACUAAUUAGAAAGGUUCAUGCAUGUGACUGACUGAUCGUGUAUGGAGGAAUCCUCACUAUCACUGUUCCUCAACUUGGCAGUAUGCCCAGAAUAUUGCUAUGGGAACAACCGAGGUAUCGCAGAGACCGAGAGCCUCGUGAGGUAUUGCUCAGUCACAGCUGAGCUGAGGUAUUGCUCAGCUCAAUCACUGGUAGUGAUGAAGUAAUUAUGCUAAAUCAUGCAAAUAUAACUUGUCUGUGUAUAGCCGUUUAUUAGACAACUGCUGGGACCGCCCCAGCGGAGCUUCUAAUAGACCUGUACGGUGUGCAGAGGUUGUUGUAACCUCUCCAGCUUGCUGAUAAUAAAGAGUGAUUCAUUUUAAGAUAGG